rnacentral:rRNA from 1 species
GGGUGAGUAACACGUGGAUGAUCUACCUCUUAGUGUGGAAUAACCCUGGGAAACCGGGGCUAAUACCGCAUAAUCCCGAGAGGGGAAAGCCGAAAGGCGCUGAGAGAGGAGUCCGCGGCCGAUUAGCUAGUUGGCAGGGUAAAAGCCUACCAAGGCAGAGAUCGGUAGCCGGCCUGAGAGGGCACACGGCCACACUGGCACUGAAACACGGGCCAGACUCCUACGGGAGGCAGCAGUGGGGAAUCUUGCACAAUGGGGGAAACCCUGAUGCAGCGACGCCGCGUGAGCGAUGAAGCCCUUCGGGGUGUAAAGCUCUUUCGGCAGGGAAGAUAGUGACGGUACCUGCAGAAGCAGCUGCGGCUAACUACGUGCCAGCAGCCGCGGUAAUACGUAGGCAGCGAGCGUUGUUCGGAGUUACUGGGCGUAAAGGGUGUGUAGGCGGUUGUUUAAGUUUGGUGUGAAAUCUCCCGGCUUAACUGGGAGGGUGCGCCGAAUACUGAAUGACUAGAGUACGGGAGAGGAAAGUGGAAUUCCUGGUGUAGCGGUGAAAUGCGUAGAUAUCAGGAGGAACACCGGUGGUGUAGACGGCUUUCUGGACCGUAACUGACGCUGAGACACGAAAGCGUGGGUAGCAAACAGGAUUAGAUACCCUGGUAGUCCACGCCCUAAACGAUGCAUAUUUGGUGUGGGUCAUUCAGUUGAUCCGUGCCGGAGCUAACGCGUUAAAUAUGCCGCCUGGGGAGUACAGUCGCAAGGCUGAAACUCAAAGGAAUUGACGGGGGCCCGCACAAGCGGUGGAGCAUGUGGUUCAAUUCGACAACGCGAAGAACCUUACCUGGGCUCGAACGGCCGGUUAACGGAGGUGGAAACACUUCUACCCCGCAAGGGGGUCCGGUCGAGGUGCUGCAUGGCUGUCGUCAGCUCGUGUCGUGAGAUGUUGGGUUAAGUCCCGCAACGAGCGCAACCCUUGUCCUGUGUUGCCAUGUUCGCAAGAACGGAACUCGCAGGAGACCGCCAGCGAUAAGCUGGAGGAAGGUGGGGAUGACGUCAAGUCCUCAUGGCCUUUAUGUCCAGGGCUACACACGUGCUACAAUGGGCGGUACAAAGCGUCGCUAACCCGCGAGGGGGAGCCAAUCGCAGAAAGCCGCUCUCAGUUCGGAUUGCAGGCUGCAACUUGCCUGCAUGAAGCUGGAAUCGCUAGUAAUGGCAGAUCAGCACGCUGCCGUGAAUACGUUCCC